rnacentral:misc_RNA from 1 species
AACCUUAUGGACCUGCGGGCGUAUACCUGCGGAGGGAUCAUUAAUGAAUAAACUUGGUCAAGCUGUUGCUGGUCUCUCGGGAUAUGUGCACGCUUGCCACCAAUUUUAACCACCUGUGCACUUCUUGUAGAUUGGAAACGUUUCCCGAGGCAACUCGGAUUGAGAACUGCUGUGCGAAAGCCGGCUGUUCUUGUGUUUCUCAGUCUAUGUUUCAUAUACUCCGAAUGUAUGUAUAAGAAU